GUUCUAGAUAAGUUUUUGGGAGGUGGCAAGCUCUGAUUGGUGUGUGACAGUGAUAGGUAAAACCAGUCUUAGAGUCACAGCAGGUCAUUUCAGCAGCUACUAGGUAAAACUGGUCUUAGGGUUUACAGUAGUCUGUUUAAGUAGCUGGGCUUGUGGAAAACUGAGUUCUUGGAGCAGCUGCUAUGUCCUUCAUGUACUUUUUCCCCUUAAUGCAUUGAAUCUGAUUUGGUUGGGUAUGACAAUAAUUACCCAAUUUGUAUAAUUAACUUUCACACUCCCAACCCUUAUCCCCCUAGUUGAGAUCUCCAGAUGCAGUUUACUCUCCCUGUUUUUCCUAUAACAUGGAAAGUUUUGGGUUUGGAAUCUGGAAAUUACCAUUUUUUUCAGAAACACUCAGUUACAUUGUCCAAAUCAAGAAAUGAGGAGUGUGGCAUUACAGUACUCCCUAAGUUUUCCAUUUUAAUACUUUGCUAGAAGAUAAG
rnacentral:lncRNA from 1 species